CCUUUACAGAUUCUGCACUGGAGAAGGAAGAUUCCUCCUUUACCAGAUGGUAGAAGUGGGUGGAGAGUUAAUAGGUGAACCUAGAAAAGGAAGGGGGUGAUUUAGGAGACAGGCAUAAAUCUGAGGGUGGGGAACAAGACUAAAAACUAAAACAAAGGUUAGCAGCAGCUUUAUAUUGAUGAAGUCCCUGAGGUUCAGAAACAACUGAAUGCCUAUAGUCUACUAGAAACUGUAUAGGUGCUGGGGUUGAGCGCCUUGGUUCUGGAAUUAGAGAAGUUGGGUUUAAGUGCUACACCUUCCACUUAUUGACUGACAUUAGUUCCCUACAAAGAAUAGCCUGCUCCAGUGCUGGCCUGAGAUUUGGACCACAACAAAUGCUCAGCGUGGCAAGCUUCUAGAGUCAGCAAGAGAUCCUCAAAUUAAGAUGGAGUUCCAAGGCAAAGAUUAAAUGUGUAUCACCUGGUAACAUAGGCUAAACUGAGGAAGCCAAGUCAAACCUAUGUGAAGACCCUUCUAGAAAGCAUAAACUUGUAGUCUCAUGGAAGCCUGAUGGGCCCAAAGAAUCUGAUUACAUAAAGAGGCAGGUCUAAAAAGGCGUCAUGAGUGCGGCUUUGACCAGUGGAGUUGACUCGCUUCAAAUUUAUAGAUAAUCCAUAAAGUUCUGAAGAAAGAACCAGUCUGAACUAAAAGAAACAGAGGCUGUUGGGGAUUUGAAAAGGCCUUUAGGCCUUCAAAUUUGUAUAAUCAAGAAGCAGGCUGCGAAGACGGCCCAGCAAUCAAAAGAGAACAUAUUUUCCAAAGGCUUCAUCAGGAGUGGACAAUGAGGAUGAUGGAUAGUGGUGUAGCUCAUAGCAGAUGCAACCAAAGUCUGGGUAAUAACCAACUAGAGAUGCACUUCUGAAGCAUCGGGU